rnacentral:rRNA from 1 species
GACGAACGCUGGCGGCGUGCUUAACACAUGCAAGUCGAACGGAAAGGCCCUGCUUUUUUGGGGUGCUCGAGUUGCGAACGGGUGAGUAACACUUUAGUAACCUUCCCUUUACUUUGUGAUAACUUCAGGAAACUUGGGCUAAUACCGGAUAGGAGCUCCUGCUGCUUGGUGGGGGUUGGAAAGUUUCGGCGGUUGGGGAUGUACUCGCGGCUUAUCAGCUUGUUGGUGGGGUAGUGGCUUACCAAGGCUUUGACGGGUAGCCGGACUGUGAGGGGAACCGGCCACAAUAGGACUGAGAUACGGCACAGACUCGUACGGGAGGCAACAGUGGGGAAUAUUACACAAUGGGCGGGAGGCUGAUGCAAAAACGCAGCGUGCGGGAAGAAGGCCAUCGGGUUGUAAACCGAAUUCGCCUGUGACGAAGCGUGAGUGACGGUAAUGGGAAAAGAAGCACCGGCUAACUACGUG